UACGGAGGGUGCAAGCGUUAAUCGGAAUUACUGGGCGUAAAGCGUGCGCAGGCGGUUUGUUAAGUCUGCUGUGAAAUCCCCGAGCUCAACUUGGGAAUUGCAGUGGAUACUGGCAGGCUGGAGUAUGGUAGAGGAAGGUGGAAUUCCCGGUGUAGCAGUGAAAUGCGUAGAGAUCGGGAGGAACACCAGUGGCGAAGGCGGCCUUCUGGACCAGCACUGACACUCAAGCACGAAAGCGUGGGGAGCAAACAGG
rnacentral:rRNA from 1 species